rnacentral:rRNA from 1 species
AACGAACGCUGGCGGCAUGCCUAACACAUGCAAGUCGAACGCCCUCUUCGGAGGGAGUGGCGCACGGGUGCGUAACGCGUGGGAACCUGCCCUUAGGUUCGGAAUAACUCAGAGAAAUUUGAGCUAAUACCGGAUAAUGUCUUCGGACCAAAGAUUUAUCGCCUUUGGAUGGGCCCGCGUUGGAUUAGCUAGUUGGUGGGGUAAAGGCCUACCAAGGCGACGAUCCAUAGCUGGUCUGAGAGGAUGAUCAGCCACACUGGGACUGAGACACGGCCCAGACUCCUACGGGAGGCAGCAGUGGGAAUAUUGGACAAUGGGCG